rnacentral:rRNA from 1 species
GGAGGGAUCAUUACCGAGUUAUUCAACUCAUCAACCCUGUGAACAUACCUAAACGUUGCUUGGCGGGAAUAGACGGCCCCGUGAAACGGGCCGCCCCCGCCAGAGGACCCUUAACUCUGUUUCUAUAAUGUUUCUUCUGAGUAAAACAAGCAAAUAAAUUAAAACUUUCAACAACGGAUCUCUUGGCUCUGGCAUCGAUGAAGAACGCAGCGAAAUGCGAUAAGUAAUGUGAAUUGCAGAAUUCAGUGAAUCAUCGAAUCUUUGAACGCACAUUGCGCCCGCCAGUAUUCUGGCGGGCAUGCCUGUUCGAGCGUCAUUACAACCCUCAGGCCCCCGGGCCUGGCGUUGGGGAUCGGCGGAGCCUCUCUGUGGGCACACGCCGUCCCCCAAAUACAGUGGCGGUCCCGCCGCAGCUUCCAUCGCGUAGUAGCUAACACCUCGCGACUGGAGAGCGGCGCGGCCACGCCGUAAAACACCCAACUUUUCUGAAGUUGACCUCGAAUCAGGUAGGAAUACCCGCUGAACUUAAGCAUAUCAAUAAACGGAGG